UACGUAGGUGGCAAGCGUUGUCCGGAAUUAUUGGGCGUAAAGCGCGCGCAGGCGGUCCUUUAAGUCUGAUGUGAAAGCCCACGGCUCAACCGUGGAGGGUCAUUGGAAACUGGGGGACUUGAGUGCAGGAGAGAAGAGUGGAAUUCCACGUGUAGCGGUGAAAUGCGUAGAGAUGUGGAGGAACACCAGUGGCGAAGGCGACUUUCUGGUCUGUAACUGACACUGAGGCGCGAAAGCGUGGGGAGCGAACAGG
rnacentral:rRNA from 1 species